AUACUUACCUGGCUGGAUUGAUAUGACCGCAAAGGUUAUUUUCCCAGGGUAAGGCUUAUUCAUUGUACUCUGGAUGUGCUUACCCCAUAUGAUUUCCCAAAAUAUGGGAAACUUGACUGCAUGAUUCAUGGCAGUGGGGGCCUGUAUUCAUGCCCUCCCAUG
rnacentral:snRNA from 1 species